GUCUACAGCCACACCACCCUGAACACCCCGAAUCCCCUCUGAUCUCAGAAGCUAAGCAGGGUCAGGCCUGGUUAGUACUUGGAUGGGAGAAGCCAAGUCUCAAUAUGCC
rnacentral:rRNA from 1 species